rnacentral:rRNA from 1 species
AAGCUAAUACCGGAUAAUAUUUUGUAACCGCAUGGUUCAAAAGUGAAAGACGGUCUUGCUGUCACUUAUAGAUGGAUCCGCGCUGCAUUAGCUAGUUGGUAAGGUAACGGCUUACCAAUGCAACGAUGCAUAGCCGACCUGAGAGGGUGAUCGGCCACACUGUAACUGAGACACGGUCCAG